UCCUGUGCCAGCCCUGGUGUGCUGGCAGCGGGCGCUGUGUCCGCCUGUGCUCACCGCGGGACGCCGGCCAUUCCCUUAGGACGAUGAUUUUCCCUCUUUUUUUUUUUUUUCUCCACGGCACCAAGAGAAAGAGGAAAACCUCUCAGCCCUGCCGAAAAAUGCAGUGGCACGCCACUUUUUAAUGUUUCUUCUUUGAAAGAAACAUUCUUCUUUGCACCUGACUCAGCUUUUCGUGGAAGUCUUCAAAGGUAGAUGAGCCUACAAAUCCUAGCCAGACGUCCCUGUGGAAAUAAACCAAAGGAAACUCUAAGGAACCCAGGAUGCUUACUGGAAUAAAACAUAGAAAAGUGUGCUGCUGCAGGAAAGAGGGCACAUCUUGUCGUGGACCGGUCAACAGCAACCAGCAGAUUUACAGUUCCCACAGACUGAACCUCUCAGCCUUUUUGUCCUACACGGGAUGAAACUGAACACAUGCCAUUUGUUUCUAUUUUUACCACCUGCAUUCUCAAUCCAGUAUAAGGAGAGGCCCAACCAAAGGAAUUGUCUCAAUGUCACUUGGCACGAUCACUUAAAAAUUGUUUUCAUUGCAAAGGGAGUGGUAAGAAUGUCCCUGUGAUCCAUGGAAAUACAGGUUAUUCACGUCCAUUGUACAGCACUCGUUUUCACCAGUAUUCAAUAGCUGGUGUGCGCAGCCCUAAACACAGCAAGUUUGGGAAACAGCAUCGGUUCCCACUGCACAUCCCCAGCUCCCCAUACUCUGUGUUAAAUAUUGGAUGCCAACAGGAAACCUGCAAGUCUCUUGGAGCUGCUCUAAAAUCUUUCCUCAGGAGUCUGGAAGAAACGUCCUCAUUCACAGUGCAUUGGUAGAGACGUUGCAUAUUUCAUCCCUUUUCAAAUAUUUAUAUAUGUACUUCACGUUUGAGUAAAGCUGUCCUUUUCAUCAGAGCAGGAAGAUUACAGUAAAGGGAGGAAUUACCCUAAAUCGGCAAACAUCAUUGUCCAUUAAGUAACAGGAGGGUUUGAAAGGAGAAUUGAGUGUCUGGCAGCCAGGAGCUUGGCUCCACCGCACAGGAGACCUCAUAAUGAUAUGUUUUGUUAUCAACUGAAAAAAGCUGGUCAUGGGGCUGUCUUUGGAAACCUUCAUGGAUGGAGGUGUUUUAAUCCCAAUGUAUUCCUUGAUCCACUCUGCAGCCGGGCCUCAAAAGUGGACUGAAAGAAGGAAAAUACCCAGAACCAGCACUGCCAUUGCCCACAGCACAUUUCAAACUACUCCUGACUGUGAUGCCCCUGCUGUGCCCUAAAAGCCCCAGGGGAGGUGAGGCCGGGGCUCUCCCAAGCAGGACAUUCAGCCUUCCCUGGAUCCAAAUCCAUACAUCACACCAGGCAAAGCCCUAAGCCCCGGAAUGUUUCUUACCUGGUGCUGUCAAUUACCAGGUCCUGGAUGGGGCAGGACAGCAGGGACCACAUCUCAGCACAGAUGUAGAACCUCUCCUGGACGGCUGCUUGUGCCGGGGUGAAACCAAGGGAGGCCUGGAAAAGGUUAAAGUUGUUGUGGUUAAAGUUGUUGUGCAGUUUGCUUCCAUGGAAGAAGAAGCAGGGUUUUCAUGUUUCAGGUCUGUAAAGCCAAGUUUUGUGACAGACACAGCAGUAAAUCAUUGCACUUUUUUGUUCCCUCUCCUGAGAAAGUGAGCAAAUAAUUUUGACUGCAGCAGCUUUAAUUUGAUCUGAAUCUGGAAUAACAUUUUUGCCUGCGUAUUCAAAAGCACCACCUUCACUCAGCAUCAUGAUGCAAACAAUGAGAUGCAGUGUACAGCCCUUGUCAGGGAGCUGCAGAGCACCAAACAUUUCCUGGGAGCUGGGUUCUGGGAAGCUGUGUGCUCAGGGCAUCGGUGUCACAUCACUUGGUGACACAAAUUCUCAUUGCCCGAGUUUUUCCAUAGGUAGGGUAGCAUGCACAACAGCCAGAAAAUAGAAUCUUUUUAAAAAGAUUCAACUCUCAUUUUGUAUCAAAAUCAUUGUGGGGUUUUAAACCUUUUUUUCUUUUUUUCUUUUUUUCUUUUUUAAUUUUUUUUCCCCCAGGCUGUUUAUUCACAGUAUUUGAGUUCACUGUAAUAAAAGCUGACCUGGGGACUGCUGCGUUCACAUCAGCGGGAACGAGCUAUGUACACUGGCCUUUUCUCUAGCAUUUGCCUGUUAAUUAAUAAUUGGUACGUUGCCAGGAGCAAAGGAGAAGUAGGAACGAGAUUCAGGUUAUAAAAUCUGCAAGGUUAUCUCGCUGUCCCUGCAGCAAAGCAGAGCCAAGGCGCUGACAGAAGGGCUGUGGCUGUGGGCCAUCGCCCCAGGGCCAUGUGCUGCAUUCCCGGGGGAGCCACAUCCCAGCACUCCCGGAGCCUUCGCGGUGGCUGCCGGCACGUCCUCCCCCAGCCACGGGAAAGCAGAGGGCACAGGAAUUUCCCUGCCUGUUGUCGGGAUUCCCGGGUAUCUGCCUGCAGCCACCCCUGGGAACGGGGCUGGCUUGUCCCCCAGGGCAGCUCAGCACGGGGGAGCAGCACCCAGCUCCGCAGAAACACGGAGUAGCUCCUUUCCCUGAGUCUGGCGUGGCUGGCAGUCGCUGACAUUGUGGAAGUGCUUGUCCCAGAGCUCUCACACUGUGUCCAGAACAUGCAUCUCUCGGCCCUUGCUCCAAAAUGAUCACCCACCCCCCUGUGCUGAAAGCGCUGCAGGCACACAGGCACUGAAACACCUCCUCCACACCUGUGGGCACUCACUUGGCUCUCCUGAAUCAAAACCCUUCCAUAAGGCCAGGACAGCUGGAAUUAAUUUUCUGUACUGGACCAAAGCUUAUCCAGGAUUCCAAUCUGCCUGAUUUUUGUGGACAGGUCGGUAUGGCUAGAGGACACCUGGAAAGCACGGGAGUAACCCGAGCAUGCUUCUGUGACCAGAGGAUAAGAACAGGAGAUAAGAGGUUAGAAUUUAAAUAAUGACAACAGACUAAAGAUUUCUCCUGUGGUGUGCAAGCACUUCAGCAGCAAUAAGGAAAAAAAAAAAA